UGCAGGGUUUGCUUAAGCUGUAACAUACUGCCCUGAGGAGGAGCAAAGACACCUCGAUACCGCUGCGUCCACUAGAACAACCUGGAGAAUAGCCUGGAAUUCCUCAUAGCAUGGAGACUGGGUUCCAGGAAGACAAUCCCAGUGUACAAAUGCUUAUCAACCCUCGGCUCGCAUCAUGGCUGCUGACGCGGGGCCAAAGCCAGUCUCAUGUCCGAGCUCAAAAUUAAUAUGGGAGAGAACUCCACAGGCCCCAGUACCGGGAGUGGACUCCUUGUGAACCACCGGUGUAAAGUCUAACACAGAAAAGACUUGAGAAAGUUCUUUGCACCAAACAGGCUGGUAGCUCAUGAUCACGUCUUGUGUCCUGAGGUGUGCAUCUGCUUCACAGAAUCUAUGAAUCCACUCAAGUUAUAUGCAAAGGCUGCGUGAAUAGACAUUUUUUUCGGAUGCAGCUUACAAAGAGAAGUCUGUGGUUCUUCCUUCCAUAUCCCAUCCCUCCGGCUGUAUGCAUAAGGAGGCAAUACCAGGUCAACAGCCAGGAAAGAAAAUGGAAAAACGAGCAAGGAAAUGGACUGCCACCGAGAACUUUCAGAAAGGAACUUAGCUUUAUCAACACCUUGAUUUCAGCCUUGUGAGAUUCUAAGCUGAGUCGACUGGACUUCUGAUCUAUGGAAACUGUGAAAUAAAAAUUUGCGUUGUUGAAAGUGGCUACAUUUGUGGUAAUUUGUUAUGAUAGUAACAGAAAAUUAAUAUAGAUAGUUUCUAGUUUGGGACAAUUAUGAAAAAAACUGUUAUAAAACUUAAAUAUAGAUUUUUUUAAACACAAAUUUUCAUUUAUUUUGGGUAAAUAUCUCGGGGUGUCACAAUCAAUUCUUGUUAUUUGUGGUAGUUAUGUUCUAUAAAGUCACCUUGAACACUGAGUUAGCGAGUAAUGAGACAUUGUUCCUAGGAGAAAUGCAGGGUUAAGUUUCUGUGAGCCUCUAGCCGCAAUGUUUUUGUCAACUGAUCAAUACGUAACUUUGUUUUACAUGUGUUUUCUGUUUAAUGACACCGUAUUUAAUACACAUUGUUGCUUCAUUAACACUGAACUCAUGGCUAACAGCACUGUAACUUGUGGCUCAACAAAACUCAUCUAACACACAUUUUUUCCAUAAGGCACUUUACAGCCUUCUUGAGUUUAAAAACACUAGACAGCACUUCAGCACUACACACCUAGGGGCCAUUUUAAACAGCAAAGUCACCAACAAAAAGAACAAAAAUGCAAAAAAAAAAAAACCAUAGAAAACUAAAUAGACUGAGAAAAGGACACAUUUACAAUAUGAGAGUUAAAACAAGAAGCCAGAGCAUUGCCUUGUUCAAUCUCACCUGGGAAUGUGCAUGUUGAGUGACUCAAAUUUUUUACUGCUCUGUACACGCCAAGGAAUGACCACAAAAGCCUCAUAAGUAUCGAUUUGGGAGUUACAAAUGAAUUUCAGCAAGUGGGCAAAUUCACAAAUGUGGAAUCUGUGAAUAAGGAGAAUUGAUUGUAUUAUUGUACCAUACGGUGAGUGUAUGUUUAACUUUAUAAGAAAAUGCCAAACUGUUUUCCAGAGUCACUGUACCAUUUUGCAUUCUCACCAGCAAUGAGUGAGAGUUCCAGCUGCCCACUCCCUCACAGUAAUUAGUAUUGUCAGCUUUUCUGAUUUUAGCUAUUCUGAUAGAUAUGUAGUGGAAUCUCAUUGUGGUUAUAAUUAACAUUUCCUUAAUGGCUAAUUACACUGAACAUCUUUUCGUCUACUUAUAUUUCAUCCUUAUAUCUUCUUUGGUGAAGAUAUUUCUGUUCAAAUAUUUUGCUCAUUUAUUAAAAAUUGUGUUGUUUGACUUCUUAUGGCUGUGUUUCAAGAGUUCUUUCUAUAGUAUUCUGGAUGUAAAUCCUUUGUCAGAUAUGUGAUUUGCAAAUGUUUCCUCCUAGGGUAUGGCUUGUCUCUUCAUUCUCUUAAGAAUAUCUUUGGCAUAGCAAAUAUUUUAAAUUUUGACAAAGUCUAAUUUAUUAAUUUUUUCUUUUAUGAGUCAUGCUUUU